GACGAACGCUGGCGGCGUGCCUAAUACAUGCAAGUCGAACGGUUUAGUUCCAAGAGGCUUGCCUUUUGGAACUAGACAGUGGCGGACGGGUGAGUAACACGUAGGCAACCUACCUGUCAAACCGGGAUAACCUCGGGAAACCGAAGCUAAACCCGGAUAAGCUCCUUUUUCGCAUGAAGGGGGAGUGAAAAGGUGCGACCUGAUGACAGAUGGGCCUGCGGCGCAUUAGCUAGUAGGUAGGGUAACGGCCUACCUAGGCGAUGAUGCGUAGCCGACCUGAGAGGGCGUACGGUCAGACUGGGACCGAGAUACGGCCCAGACUCCUACGGGCGGCAGCAGUAGGGAAGCUUCGGGAAUGGGCGAAAGCCUGACCGGGCAACGCCGCGUGAGUGAGGAAGGCCUUCGGGUUGUAAAACUCUGUUGUUUGGGAAGAAGGGAAAGGGUAGGACCCUUUGGUGACGGUACCAAACGAGAAAGCCCCGGCUAACUACGUG
rnacentral:rRNA from 1 species